UAGGCUUAUGGUCAAGAGAAAAGGAAAAUCAGUCAAGCUUCCAUCCCCCAUCCCAGCUGUGCAUGCAGUGUUGCCAAAAGGCACCAUGUAAGAAGUCAGAUUCUCUGAGGCCAUGAUGCCGUCAGGAGGUCCAACCCUGCCACAUGAAGAGGCCACAUGGAGAGAGAUGCCUGACCAGCCCCCAGCUGUUCUAGACAACCCAGGUGGCAAAGGCCUUAAUACCCUGGGAGAAACACUGCCAGUGAAGAUCCUGAAACUCUAAAGAGAGUAGUGAAUUUACAGGAGAUGAAUCAAGUUCUCCUGCCCUGGGAACAAGCCAGA